rnacentral:lncRNA from 1 species
AAAAAGGAGCUAAAACAGAGAUGAUUGUUCCUGCCCUUGGAAAGUAGAAAGUGAUGGAUAUUUUGAUCGGGCGCCCUGACGAAUGGCCUUUUUUCUGAACAAAUCCUUUCCAAGGGGACGAAAACUUGAGGAGAAAUUACUCUCUGUGCCUGAGGUCUGAUUAAUCUCUAACAUCAUUUCAUUAUUGAUGGGUAAGUCAUGCUGAGUGCGGUUAUCUGAUGUCACAAUUAUUAUUAAUACCGAAAAAGUUCAGACACCAUAACGUGAUAGCAAAAUCUUCAUAUUUUGCUGAUUAACCAUUGAAUAUUUUAAGAGUGAGUGUGGGUGUUGUUCAUUUUAUGUUCCCAGGAAGGUUCUGGCUCCAGGUCUCAUAUUCAACAAUGCACGUUUGAACAAGGAGAGGCGCUUGGUAGAAAGAAUGCUGUUACUAGAAGAUAGAUCGUACCCUUGGCCAAGUAGAACACCAUCCCCAACAGAUCUCAAGUGGCCAGGGAGAAGUAGUCAACAAAAUCAAAAUAAAUGAGAGAUAAAACCGCCCAGCCCCUCAGAUGUCAGCGCCGAGCCUUGAAGGAGCUUCCUGAAUUGGGCCACUGUGUGCCAAAAAUCUGAGAAUGUCUUGUUCCCUUUAAAUAAAUCAAAACAUAAAACAAAGGCA